rnacentral:rRNA from 1 species
AUUGAACGCUGGCGGCAGGCCUAACACAUGCAAGUCGACCGAGUGGCGGACGGGUGAGUAAUGUCUGGGAAACUGCCCGCUGGAGGGGGAUAACUACUGGCAACGGUAGCUAAUACCGCAUCCCAUCGGAUGUGCCCUGAUGGGAUUAGCUAGUAGGUGGGGUAACGGCUCACCUAGGCGACGAUCCCUAACUGGUCUGAGAGGAUGACCAGCCACACGGGAACGGAGACACGGUCCAGACUCCGACGGGAGGCAGCAGUGGGGAAUAUGGCACAAUGGGCGCAAGCCUGAUGCAGCCAUGCCGCGUGUAUGAAGAAGGCCUUCGGGUUGUAAAGUACUUUCAGCGAGGAGGCGUUACUCGCAGAAGAAGCACCGGCUAACGCCGGGCCAGCAGCCGCGGUAAUUC